rnacentral:rRNA from 1 species
ACGAACGCUUGCGGCGUGCUUAACACAUGCAAGUCGCACGGAAAGGCCCUGCUUGCAGGGUACUCGAGUGGCGAACGGGUGGGUAACACGUGGGUGAUCUGCCCUGCACUUCGGGAUAAGCCUGGGAAACUGGGUCUAAUACCGGAUAGGAGCCAUUUUUAGUGUGUUGGUUGGAAAGUUUUUUCGGUGUAGGAUGAGCUCGCGGCCUAUCAGCUUGUUGGUGGGGUAAUGGCCUACCAAGGCGGCGACGGGUAGCCGGCCUGAGAGGGUGGACGGCCACAUUGGGAAUGGGAUACGGCCCCGACUCCUACGGGAGGCAGCAGUGGGGAAUAUUGGACAAUGGGCGCAAGGCUGAUGCAGCGACGCCGCGUGGGGGAUGACGGCCUUCGGGUUGUAAACUCCUUUCGCUAGGGACGAAGCUUUUUGUGACGGUACCUAGAUAAGAAGCACCGGCUAACUACGUG